GCUGUAGCUCAGUGAUAAGAGCAUCUGCCUUGCAUGCAGAAGGUUCCCAGGUUCAAUCCCCAGCAUCUCCA